GGAAGAAGCUCUUUUACACAGCAGCCAUUGUAACAGACCAUUCAACCAUGAUAUGGAAUAACUAAGCUUCUGAUCCUGACUGUGCUUGGGCAUACAUUCUUAUAGUCCUCUGACUUUCCUAGCAAAAGUAAGGAAAGAGAGAGAGAGAGUCAGGAAGAAUUGCUGCUACAAAGCAAAGCGAAGACAGAGGUAACAACAGAAAGCAGUACUUGUGCAUGGCUCCCUGCUUUAAUCCCUCACAGAGGGUGUGGAGGCACAGAACAACUAUAAGGCUGGUGCACGCCUGCUCCGUAUGCCUGAAGCCUCUUUAAACUUUAGGGUCACUUCAGGUAUUUAACACUGCUUCAAUUUACUUAGUAAGCUAUGGCCACUUAUUUUUCCUCAGCAAACCAUGUGAUGAUUUUCUGUGGCAAGCUGGAUAGGUCUUCAAUCUGUUUCCCUAUUAUGUCACUACAAAGUACCAGCAACUGAAGUAUCAGUCAGAGAAUCAGAAUGACAAAUGCUUUUCUUCACAGGAAACUUGGUUUACAUAUGCAUGAAAUGCAGCCCGGUGAUGAAGGUGGUGAGAGUCCCUCUCUAUUUUGCACUUGUGAGGCACCCAUCUGGUGAACUGCAUCUAGGCCUGGGGCCCCCAACAGAAGGAACGAUGCGGAGCUUUUGGAGAGGCUCCAGAGGAAGGCCAUGAACAUCAGAGGGCUGGAGCACCUCUCCGGUGAAGACAGGCUGAGGGAGCUGGACUUGUUCAAGAAGGCUGUGGGGAGACCUUAUUGUGGCCUUGUGAUAUUUAAAAGGGAGAUUAUAAACAGGAAGGAAAUCAACUUUUUACAUGGGUAGAUAGUGACUGGACAAGGGAGAAUGGUUUUAAACUAAAGAAGGAAAGAUUUAGAUUAGAUGUCAGGGGGAAGUUUUUUUUUACAGAGAGGGUGGUGCUUGCACAGGCUGCCCAGAGAGGCUGUAGAUGCCUCAUCUAUGGUGUUCAAGGCCAGUUUGGAAGCAGCCCUGGUCAAUCUGAAUUAGUACAUAAUCUAGUAGUUGGCAACUUUGCCUGUGGUAGGGGGCAGUUGGAACCUGAUGAUUCUUGAGGUCCCUUCUAACCCAAGCCAUUCUAUGAUUCUGUGAUCCUAUGAUUUCUUUGUGGGUCUAGCCCAAGACUGCACAGAAGGUCUGCAGCAGUGGAUAACCAAACCCUUAAACACCAGUAAAGUGUCUAGAGGAAAACUGCAUUGUUCUGUGUAUGUUUUCAGCAAACCUUAUCUUGAUUUCACACAGAGACACCGGGUGAUACAUGGAAAUUAAUAAGAAACAUCAAGCUGAUUGUUUUAAGGACCAGACCAUGAAGAGGGCAAAAACAAACAAACAACAACAACAACAACAAAACACUAAAGUAAACUCUGAAUUCCUUUCAGCCAUGUCAGUCUGAAAUGUGAGCUAGAAUCAGGGGUUGUUUAAAAUAUUAAUGCUAUCUAAUAUAGAGUGCCACAUUCUUCCCCCUAAGAUGCCAGGGAAUUGUACUGUACUGCCAGGGAACUGUGUAUUGAGAAAUAGUAAAUUACUCAAGAGAGGAAUUAGUCUUUGGAAACAACUCACUAGCUGUUGCCAUUGUUUAGUAUUUUCCUUGUCACAGGGUACAAAGUAAGUAUCUGUGGAACAUAGGAAAUAUCCUGCAGUAUUUCAGCAUUAAAAAUGUCAAUAUUUUGAAGUAUCUUGGCUUUUCUAAGAAAGCCUGGCUGGAGGAUAAUUUUGUUUUAGCUGAAUUCUUUAUCACUGGUGAAGGAUGAGCUGCUAAAGAAAGGUGGGGGUUUUGCUGUUGUUGUUUUUUUUCAGAUUUGUAGCCAAACAAAGCCAAACAAUCUUAUACAAUUCCAUUAACCAUAUUAUUAAGGAAGAAAAAAAAACACUCUUUUUUGAUAGCAUAUUUUGUUUUUAUUCCCUAUUCUUUCCUGUUUAAUUUUUUCUGCAGAUUGUACAAUUUAAUAUUUGUUGCUUGCAAAACCAAUGUUUUAUAAUGGUAUUGAAAAAAUACUUGCAUGAUAUUUUUUUAAUCAGAUUUAAUGAAUGAUUAAGACUAAACUGUAUGUCACAGGCAGCAGAGGGGCUGCUCCAGUUGUUUGCAUUCUAGUAGUCAUUUUAUGUGGAUCAUAUGUUUCAGUCACCAGACAGCAGAAUCAAGGCAGGAGUGUGUAAGUAGUUAAAAUGCUAGUUACUUGCUUUGAACAAAUUCAUUGGGCAUGCCCAGGCCAGAAUUUUCUUGCAUAGUUUUGUCUAGAGGACAGUAAACUGGUAGCUUUUAAAACAUCACACACAUUUAAAUCCUCAUGUAAACAAAUGGAACCAAGUUUUUGUACAAAACAACUGGGUUAGAUAAAUACUGUUCUGGAUGGAAGGUUUUCACUAUGCAUCCAGCAGUAUAAAAUUUUUCACAAUAUUGAAACUCCAUCCCUUUUGCUUAGUUUUCUGUUCUGUUACAAAUAAAUGUUCAUCAUGCAUUAGAAAGUUUGCUAAACGUUGUGCCCUUUUGUCAUAAACCUUGGCUCAAGUUUCUACGUAUGCUAGUAGAUUUAUAUUUGGAUAAUCUCGUCUGGCUAAACCUUAUGUUACUCUUUGUUUGAACACAAAGACUCCAGCCUUCAUAUUUACCAGAAUUAGUUUGAGGUUAAGCUCAGAGAUUCUUAGGGCCUGGCAGCCCCUUCGAAACAACGCUUAAAAAAUAUAUAUAUAUUUUUUUCCCCACAAUGUCUCAAGGAUAGAAAAUGUAAAGUUUUAACUCUUUUUACCAGAGAAGAAAUACAGAGAAAUGUGUUUGUAACCAGAGUCUUGGAUCCAACUAUCCCAAAACUUGGAGAAAAUUUGAUUUAUUAAAAAGUUGGUAUAUUGUUCCAAACCAAAAUCUGACUACUAAUAGUUGUUUUUGGCAAAAGUUAUGUCAAGAAAUUUAGGUUUUUGUUUGUUUGUUUGUUUUUACUUAAAACACUUCACAGGUAUGUU
rnacentral:lncRNA from 1 species